AUUUGAAUUAGUUAUCAUCACACUGAAUAAUCCAAACUACUAUAUUACUAUCUACUAUGCUAGUGGUAUUAUUAAUAUUAUGAUUCCGUACUGUUGACUGAGUCAAAAUAUCUUGAAUAAGUAAAAUAUUUGGUAAAAAAAAUUGAAAAUCACUUAACUCUUUUGUACACAAAAUUUAGAAAUGGGUGAUGGCGAUUGCGAUAGCGAUGGGGGUGGGUGAUGGUCAUUUUUGUAGUCAUGUGGGCUUGAUAGUAGUACAAAUCUGGUGGCAAGUUGAGAUAGUAUUGAUCUAGUGGUGACCGAGGGUGGUUAUCGUGAGAUGGCUGGAAGUGAAAAUUUGAUGGUGACAUUGUAGAUUGUUGUCAAUGGUUGUAAUGGUGGUGGUGGAAAUAGGCAGCCCCAACGACAACGUUGAUAAUCACCACAGUGAUGAAAACAUGCAGCGGAAUAGACAUAAAAUUGUGUUACAAAAAGUGUAGCACAUAUUUUACACAAAAAAUAAUAAUAAAAUAAAUUAAAAAAGUAAAAUAGUUGUGCAAAAAAAUAAAAUAUCAUAAAGAAGAGGGGAAAGGGAAAACGAGAGCACCACAUACUUGCAGUUCCUAGGCCUUCGGGACUACCGUAAUAGCUUGCUCUCGAUUUUUGAAAUCCUUGGCCAUAACAAGUUGCUGCCAACAGCAAUAUCAUAGGAAAAAAGAAGAAAUAAGAACCCAUUUU
rnacentral:lncRNA from 1 species